CAUGGAUGAAUGCUUCAUUUGACUAGGCUCUUUAUAGUGCAUGGUAAGUGAUUUCAGCCUCAUUUUUAAUGAUUUUUAUGUGUUUUAGAUUGUUUUAGCUUAAUCUAGCUAGCCCGGUGGCCAAUUUGUAAAAAUGUUAAAGGUUGAGGGUUAUUCCAUGAAUGUUCUUGAAUGUUUUUUGAUGUUAAAUGAUAGAUUAUGAUUCUUCGUUGAAAAAUGAACAACUUCCGUAAAGUGAUUUUUGAUUAAUUUUGGAUUAGGGACUAAUUUGUUAAAAGUAAAUUUUAGGGUUUUAUUUUGAAAUGAUGGUAAAUAUGAGUUUUUUCAAGGUUCCUUACAUGCUUGAUUAACAUGGAUUUUGAUUAAAAUGAUUAGAUUUCAAUUUAGGAGCUUAAAGACUAAAUUGUGAAAUGUUAAAAUAUUAAGGGCAAAAUUGUAAUUUUAUAUAUGUAAUAGCCCGAUUUUAGGCCUAGUCGGAACAGUGGUUUCGGGACCACAAAUCCGACGAGAGAAAAAAAAAUGUAAUGGCCUGAAUUUUCAGAGGUGUCGGAACGGUGAUUCGAGAUCACUAAAUUCGACAAAUGAGUAGAAAAUAUUAUUAAUUUAGUAAGUAUAAGUUAAAUAUGAAGUUAGGAAAAUUUUUGAAAUAGUGAAUAGUGCACUAGAAAUAAAUAUUAAAAUAAUUAGAAUCGAAAUGAGGUAUCAAGACCUCGGGGAUUUUAAACUGAGCCAUAAAUAUUUUUAUAAAUAUUUAUGGAGUGUUAAAAAGUUAGUAUUAAAGUUUCGUUAAGAAAUUUUAAAGUUCCGAUAAUUAAUUGAGCAAAAAGGACUAAAUUGUAACAAAUGCAAAAUUUUGGGAAAUGAUUAAAUAGCUUAAAUGAUAAAAGGAAGAGGGCUUAAAAGGCAAAUAGACCCAAGGUCUAUUUGGGCUGGACGGCAGAGACAUGAAAUCAGCAAGAAAGUAAGGAGAAUUAAGGGCAAAAUUGGAAAAUUGCAAAAUUUGCUUAAUAAAGUUCGGACCCAAGUGGAAUUAUCUAGAUUUCUCUUCAUUUUUCUGAAUUCUCAUCAGCUAAAACACCAUGGAGGGGCUUCUUCAAGCUGGUUGUUCAUAUUUUUACUACAAGUAAGUUCAAUUCUUGACUAUUUCUUGAAAUUUUUGUAUUUUUAUGACUUUUACAACUAGGCUCACUUGUUAAAUUCAUUAGUUUUUAAUUUUAUGAAAGAAGUUGAAAGUUGAUAUGAAUAUGUGCUGAAAGUAUAUGAUGAUUUAGCAUGGAAUUAGAGCUUUAAAUUGUUCAUAUGCUGAUUUUAUCGAAAGAAUUGAAUAGAAAGUGAAUGUUUGGGACCUAAUAGUAAAAGAGUUUUAAGAUAGGGUUAUAUGUGGAAAUUCUGAAUUUCAAUAGUUGUGUAACAACUUAUAAUGUCUAGUAAAGUAUUAAUUGAGAAAAUUAGAUUAAUUGAGGGGUUAAUUGAGAAAGGACCGGAUUGUAUAAACUGUGAAAUUUGGGGCAAAAUGGAAAUCAACAUUUUGCAUUAAAGCAGUUUUGGACAGUAGCAGUAGUGUAACUUUGAAAAAUCACAAAAAAAUUGUAAAGAUUGAAUUAGAGGAUGAAUAAACUAUGAAAUUAAAGCUUAUUGAGUCUAGUUUCUUAUAAAAGAAACGGUGUGAGCAAUGGAAUUGUAAAUCAUAAGAUAUAAUAGAUUUUGUGAGACAAGGUCAGAAUGAAUUCGGGUUCCCCUGUUCUGACUUUGGAAAAUCAUUAAAAAUUAUAGAAAAAUGAUUAUGAGUUAUAAUUUAUAUGGUUAGAAUCCUUAAUGAGUCUAUUUUUAGAAGAAACAAAUAUAAAUAUCAUCCAAAUUCUGUACAAUGAGAUAAUUAAUUUUUAGUGAAGAAUGGUCGGAACUGUCAGACAGCAAAACAGGGGAAACUUUAAAGAAUAAAAUGUACUGUUUGGCUGAAUCAAAAAUUCUGAAAAUUUUAUGGUAAGAAUUUAUGUGAGUCUAGUUUUGGGGAAAAUUAACGGAUCUUAAUUUGGAGCUCUGUAGCUCCGGAUAAAAAUAAUUUAGUGACUCUGACUCGGAUAAACAGUUUUGAAUAUACAUGUGAGUGAAUAGUGAAAUUAUAGCUAAUGUUGUUUAAGUGUGUUAUGCACAUUAAGGAUGUGGAAUGGAGAGGAGGAGGAGGAAAAUUGGGAAAUAUAUGAAUGAUUCGUGUAUAAAUGGUCAUAUGUUUGAUUAUAACUGAUAAACGAUGAAAUAUGAAUGAUGCUUAUUUUUGUGCAUUAUUGGUCAUGGUUUAAGCUCAUGUGUGAAAAUAAAGUUUCAUAGUAUGUGUGUAUGGUAUAUUCAGUAUAUGAUUUGGCAUGAAAUAAUACCAUGAAUGGUUAAUGAAUUAACACAUGUUGGUAAGCCUGAUAUAUGAAUAAAUGAUCAAAUUGAGCGGAACGCCGGAUUUGAGUACUUCUGAUCAAGUGACAAAGUGAUAAGCGGUAGCUUUAGCUACACUUAUCUGAUCAAGUGACAAGUGAAAAGUGAUAAGUGAUAGCUUCGGCUAUACUUAUCUGAUCAAGUGACAAAGUGAUAAGUGAUAGCUUCAGCUACACUUAUCUGAUCAAGUGACAAGUGAUAGCUUCGGCUACACUUAUCUGAUCAAGUGACAAGUGAAAAGUGAUAAGUGAUAGCUUCGGCUAUACUUAUCUGAUCAAUAGACAAAGUGAUAAGUGAUAGCUUUAGCUACACUUAUCUGAUCAAGAGACAAAGUGAUAAGUGGCUACACUUAUCUGAUCAAGAAACAAAUUGAUAAGUGGCUACACUUAUCUGAUCAAGAAACAAAGUGAUAAGUGGCUACACUUAUCUGAUCAAGAAACAAAGUGAUAAGUGGCUACACUUAUCUGAUCAGUGACAAGUGAUAAGUGAUCAUACGUAAGACCAUAGUUAUACUAUGGCAAAGUGAAAGUGAAGUACUCAAUUUUCCGUAACCGUUCCCUAAUUUGAUUAAGUAUGGUAAGUGACAAAUGGGCCCAAAAGAAUUAAAGUAAAUGAAUAAGUGGUAGCGUAUUUAUAUCAGGACGAUGUUGUUAUUCAAGAUAAAGUGAUAUUUUCAUUGCAAAAUUCAGAAUUUCAUAAAUGUGUUAUUGAAUGAUAUAAUCAAUAAACAUUGAGUUAAAUGGUAAAUACGUAUUAAUGUUGAACUUGAUGUCAUUGAAUUGUACGUGAAUUAAAUGGAAAUUGCUAGUGAUAUGAUUUAAAUUGUGAGCAUGACAAAUUGCGAAUUGAAUAAAAUGGAAAUGAAGCAUUGAAUUGCAUGAGUAUGUAUCGGGUCUCAUAGGCCUUAAUUAUUAUGAUUAUAAUAUUUCGAGGAUAUAUUGUGAAAAGUUAUAGAAGCAUGUUAAUUAUUUUGAAGGUUUUAAUUUAGAUGAAAUUUUAUAACUCGGUUAAAUACGCUUACAAGUGUAUGUGUUUUGGUGAUACCUCGUACCCUAUUCCGGUGUUAGAUACGGGUAAGGGGUGUUACAAUAUAAAUAUGAAAUGAGAAUUAAAUUGAAUACUAUAAGUAUAAAAUGGAUUGAAAUUGUUUAUUUAGAUCAAAAUAAACCACGUACGAACCUAGAUUGAGGCAAAGUAAAAGCUUUAGAUUAGAUCAAUUUAACUUCUACGCCCCUAGUCGUCGAGGUAAGUUUGUAUGAACAAUUAUUGUAUUACUUAAAUUGUAUGUUAUUAUGUUAUUUAUAAUGUUAAUUGAGUGAUGUAUAAAGAAAUCAAUGCUAUGACAGUUAUCAAGUCCUAAUUGAACUUUAAGAAUUCGUAGGAUACAAAUGACAUGUCAUUAGGGAUUUCAUGUUUCAGGUACUGGUCUUGAAUGUCCUAUCGAUGGCUGAGGUCCCACAUUGUUACGGAUACUCCACAGCUCGUGUGAAUAGCAUCAUGAAGCUUACAUUUUGACUCGCAUCUUGUGUGAGCAGGCCCAUUUCACAACUCGUGUGAGCAAUGAUGUAAAGGAAAUGUUACGGUUAUAUAUAAAGGCACACUUCGUGUGAGCUUACUCGAGUAUCCGAUGAAAUUCUAGAUGAUUCAAUGGGUAAGAAAAUGGAUUGAAAUGGUAAUUAUUCAAAUGGAAUCAAGCAUGAUCUUAUGGAAAGAAUGCAUGAACUAAUUGAUGUAUUCCAUAUGAAAAAUGACUUAUAUUAUGGUUGGUUCAUUUGAUUUAUGAGCAAGUGUGCUAACUUGUGUAUUGAUGGUGAUGUAUAGGCUUAUGCCAAGCUUAUGGUUUGGGUUAUAUUAUGCUUAUGCUUUAUAUUAUGCAAAUGAAAUAGUAAGUAUGUUUUAACUUAUACGAGCUUACUAAGCAUUAAUUGCUUACAUAGUUUCUUUCCUAUGUUUUAUAGAUUGUCAGAAGCUUGAUUGAUUUAAAGCUCAUCGAAGAUCUAUCACACUAUCCAACAAAUAUAUCGAUAAUUUUUGAAUGUUUUGGCCAAGGUUUAUAAUGGCAUGUAUAGGGUGAAUUGUAAUGACAUUUUUUUGAAUGUUUAGUUGGUGAUUUGGCAUAUAUAAGUUGUGGAAGUUAACUUGGUUGGUACCAUUUGAUGUAUUGCUAGAUUAUGUCAUUUUGGUUAUCUUAUUAUGUAUGUUUUAAAUGGCUCCUAAGAUAUGUUUUGAAUUUGUAUGAUU
rnacentral:lncRNA from 1 species